UGAUCACUCUCCUUACAAUGUGUAUGAUAAUCAAGGUGGGCCAUUUCCAGCACAAAUCCAGGGUUUAACAAGAACGUCUGGGGGGGGGGGGGGGGUUAGGAAAAAACAAGGGGAAAUAGGUUACCUUGCAUAAUGACUUAGCCACUCCCAGUCUCUAUUCAAGCCUAAGUUAAUUGUAUCCAAUUUGCAAAUGAAUUCCAAUUCAACAGUUUCUCGCUGGAGUCUGGAUUUGAAGUUUUUUUUGUUGUAAAAUAGCAACUUUCAUGUCUGUAAUCGCGUGACCAGAGAGAUUGAAGUGUUCUCCGACUGGUUUAUGAAUGUUAUAAUUCUUGACAUCUGAUUUGUGUCCAUUUAUUCUUUUACGUAGAGACUGUCCAGUUUGACCAAUGUACAUGGCAGAGGGGCAUUGCUGGCACAUGAUGGCAUAUAUCAUAUUGGUGGAUGUGCAGGUGAACGAGCCUCUGAUAGUGUGGCUGAUGUUAUUAGGCCCUGUGAUGGUGUCCCCUGAAUAGAUAUGUGGGCACAAUUGGCAACGGGCUUUGUUGCAAGGAUAAGUUCCUGGGUUAGUGGUUCUGUUGUGUGGUAUGUGGUUGUUGGUGAGUAUUUGGUUCAGGUUGCGGGCUGUCUGUAGGCAAGGACUGGCCUGUCUCCCAAGACUUGUGAGAGUGUUGGGUCAUCCUUUAGGAUAGGUUGUAGAUCCUUAAUAAUGCGUUGGAGGGGUUUUAGUUGGGGGCUGAAGGUGACCGCUAGUGGCGUUCUGUUAUUUUCUUUGUUAGGCCUGUCCUCUAGUAGGUAACUUCUGGGAACUCUUCUGGCUCUAUCAAUCUGUUUCUUUACUUCUGCAGGUGGGUAUUGUAGUUGUAAGAAAGCUUGACAGAGAUCUUGUAGGUGUUUGUCUCUGUCUGACGGGUUGGAGCAAAUGCGGUUGUAUCGCAGAGCUUGGCUGUAGACGAUGGAUCGUGUGGUGUGGUCAGGGUGAAAGCUGGAGGCAUGCAGGUAGGAAUAGCGGUCAGUAGGUUUCCGGUAUAGGGUGGUGUUUAUGUGGCCAUUGUUUAUUAGCACUGUAGUGUCCAGGAAGUGGAUCUCUUGUCGUUGUUCUAAAUCAGCCAUAAAAAUGUUGGCAUACUGUGGGGCCAUGCGGGUACCCAUAGCAGUGCCGCUGAUCUGAAGGUAUACAUUGUCCCCAAAUGUGAAAUAGUUAUGGAUAAGGACAAAGUCACAAAGUUCAGCCACCAGGUUAGCCGUGACAUUAUCGGGGAUAGUGUUCUUGACGGCUUGUAGUCCAUCUUUGUGUGGAAUGUUGGUGUAGAGGGCUUCUACAUCCAUAGUAGCCAGGAUGGUGUUAUCAGGAAGAUCACCGAUGGAUUGAAGUUUCCUCAGGAAGUCAGUGGUGUCUCGAAGGUAGCUGGGAGUGCUGGUAGCGUAGGGCCU